UGGGAAACAGGUUAAUAUUCCUGUACUUGGUGUUACUGCGAAGGGGGGACGGAGAAGGCUAUGUUAGCCGGGCGACGGUUGUCCCGGUUUAAGCAUGUAGGCUGGUUAUCCAGGCAAAUCCGGAUAAUCAAGGCUGAGGUGUGAUGACGAGGCACUACGGUGCUGAAGUAACAAAUGCCCUGCUUCCAGGAAAAGCCUCUAAGCAUCAGGUAACAUCAAAUCGUACCCCAAACCG
rnacentral:rRNA from 1 species